rfam:Nicotiana attenuata strain TT scaffold04490, whole genome shotgun sequence.
CAUUGAAGUGAUGAUAUCCGAUUCAGGAAAGUAUAUAUGUCGAUUCCAAAAAUCAUCCAGACUACAAUUAUCUGAUCAAUG